rnacentral:misc_RNA from 1 species
GUAAGUCUCUCUCUCUCUCUCUAUCAGUUACAUGUAUCCUUAUGGAAUGCAUAUAUUCAGUUCUAUCAGUAGUUUUCUUUUAUUUUAUUUUAUUUUGGGAGGGGAGGAUCGCAAGUUCAAUAUAUAUGCGGCUACUUCUAUCAGUAGUUAAAUGUAAUAAUAUUUCUGUUCUUUCUUUAUUUUCAAGGUCAGUCAACUGUAAUACCAUUUUCUUCUUAUUAAUAAAGUCAUUUGUGUAACUUUUUAAACACUCAAAUGCGAAUUAAUGUUAAGUGAAAUUCUAUCUGAUAUCUGAAUUUCCUCAUGGAAUUGAAUACUCAUGAGAUUUAGUAUUGUUGAUUUGGCGAGAAUAUGUUCAUUAUUCAAAUAUUCCAAUUCAUUAUCAUUGAUUUUGUAAGUCAAUUGCGGAAGCAUCGUUAUUUCUUUCCAGUAUCCAGUACCAGUGAGUA